GACGAACGCUGGCGGCGUGCCUAAUACAUGCAAGUUGAGCGAUGAAGAUUGGUGCUUGCACCAAUUUGAAGAGCAGCGAACGGGUGAGUAACGCGUGGGGAAUCUGCCUUUGAGCGGGGGACAACAUUUGGAAACGAAUGCUAAUACCGCAUAAUAACUUUAAACAUAAGUUUUAAGUUUGAAAGAUGCAAUUGCAUCACUCAAAGAUGAUCCCGCGUUGUAUUAGCUAGUUGGUGAGGUAAAGGCUCACCAAGGCGAUGAUACAUAGCCGACCUGAGAGGGUGAGCGGCCACAGUGGGACUGAGACACGGCCCAAACUCCUACGGGAGGCAGCAGUAGGGAAUCUUCGGCAAUGGACGAAAGUCUGACCGAGCAACGCCGCGUGAGUGAAGAAGGUUGUCGGAUCGUAAAACUCUGUUGGUAGAGAAGAACGUUGGUGAGAGUGGAAAGCUCAUCAAGUGACGGUAACUACCCAGAAAGGGACGGCUAACUACGUG
rnacentral:rRNA from 1 species